UAAAUAAACAAGCGUAAAUAAGAGCAUUACAGGUGUGGAAUAAACAAACAAGCGUAAAUAAGAGCAUGACAGGUCUUGAAUAAACAAACAAGCAUAAAUAAGAGCAUUACAGGUCUGGAAUAAACAAACAAGCGUAAAUAAGAGCAUUACAGGUGUGGAAUAAACAAACAAGCGUAAAUAAAAGCAUGACAUGUCUUGAAUAAACAAACAAGCGUAAAUAAGGGCAUGACAGGUCUGGAAUAAACAAACAAGCGUAAAUAAGGGCAUUUCAGGAGUGGAAUAAACAAACAAGCGUAAAUAAGAGCAUUACAGGUGUGGAAUAAACAAACAAGCGUAAAUAAGAGCAUUACAGGUCUGGAAUAAACAAACAAGCGUAAAUAAGAGCAGUACAGGUCUGGAAUAAACAAACAAGCGUAAAUAAGAGCAUUACAGGUCUGGAAUAAACAAACAAGCGUAAAUAAAAGCAGUACAGGUUUGGAAUAAACAAACAAGCGUAAAUAAGAGCAUUACAGGUGUGGAAUAAACAAACAAGCGUAAAUAAGAGCAUUACAGGUCUGGAAUAAACAAACAAGCGUAAAUAAGAGCA